CUGGUAUCAGCUUUUGAGUACCACCAAAGGCAGUAGUUAUUUGCAUAUUUUCAGCUUCCUCAAGUAACAUGAUCACAAAAGAACAUUUUUACGAACCUGGCUCUCAUCUGCACUUUUGUGUGCUUCAAGCAUUUCUGUAAUAAUUACACAUACCUGCAUAACCCUCAUUUGCAAGGAGGACAUUUCUGCCAUACUGGGAUUGGCAAUAUGAAGACUGGUUUGAUUAAGCUGUGCUAAGCAAACACUGAAUGCGCCAUUUUCAGGAUUGGUCCACAGAGCUUCACUGCAAGGAAAUGCUGUACGAAUAAAUAUCAUUACAGAAAGGGAAAACCUAAAGGUGAAGGGAGUUUUUUUGAUCCAAAAAAGGCAUGCUGGAAUAAAACGGAAAGCUUUGUUAGCAUCAAGCCUGCACAGACUUAGAAACAAAAGGGCCCAAGACAAGACUUUCGGACAAAGAGGGGAAGAAAGAGGAAACUCCUAGUGUUAAUUUCAAGGAAACGCUGAAAUCCAGAAAAGAACUGAGAGAAGAGAGUUAGAAGGAAAAAGAAAGAUUUUCUUUCGAGUAUGUGCCGGCCUGGUCCCCUGUGAAUCAGAGCAUCCUGAGAACCACUCCAUUUUCUAAGAGACUGUCUGUGCUUCCGAGGCAUCAUUUUGGCAGCAGCUGAUGAUGGCGAUGCUGCAGCCAUCCCCGCUUGUCCCUGGCUGUGGUGGUGGUGCUGCAGACAAUAAAGCGACUCUGCGCUACUUACGCAUUAGGCAGGAAAGUCAACUGAGAGCUAUUUUAGUUGGGUUACAGCUGUCCUACACUUCCAGCAUGGCACAAAGCAUCUAUAAAGCAACAUUCGGGGCAUGGGGUGGGGGGAUUGUGACUGUCCUUUUGUAUGCUGUUCUAAGCUGUUAAGUAAUGCUUCUGUUAAUAUUUGUCAUCACCAACCUGACUAGCUUCACACUGAAAAUCAGGAGAUAAAUGAUACAACUAUGAUUCCUAAUCCCUGAGACAAUUCUGCUCUCGACUCUCAAAAAUACUGUGGGUUGGUAUGUUGGGCCUUUGGCAAGAGAUUCUUCAGAAUUCUAUUGCACUUCUUCAUUUAAUUUGGACAAAAAAAUAACCCAUCAGUGAAGAGUCCAUUGUGUUUAUUCUUAAGAUAUGAAGUGACUAUUAGUAGCCGUCAGAGAGUGUAGAUGACACUGUCCUGUACAGCUGCAUUGUGGAUAUCCCUCCUCUAAAAUAAAUCUAAAUAAACAGAUAAAGCAGCAACCCCCAAUCUUACUCUGAGGUCAUGCAUUGAGUGAAUAAUCUACUCUUGCUAGACAGUGGAAGCCUCUGUAGACUGAGAAAAGGUGUCAUUAGCUGAUUUUCAUGCCAGGACCAAAACCAAAUAAAGCCAGAGCUGAAAACAAACAAAAAUAUAUUAGGCUGACAAAAAAGUCUCCAGUGGGAAAUGGAAGACAACUAGAAACAAUGGUAAUAACAUUUUCAUGUGCUUUCAUUACAUGAGCAAUUUGGGGAUGUGCUGAACAAUUCAGAAAUAUUUCAAAUUGCUGGGUAUAUGCCAUAAUUGCUGGUUUACAAAUAUGUCAGAUAUUUUACCAUGCAGGCUCCUUUUAUUCACUACAAACAAUUC